AGUUGUUUUCACUGUUUGGUCCAUGAGCAGAUUGCCAGAAUACUGAGCUCAUCUUUUCUGGUUUCCCAGGUUCUUAUAAAUUAAGACCCCUUGUGUUAUUCGAUCUAGAAGGAAUUGGCGUUGAGCCAAAUUUGUUAUCCUUGAUCCUCAACAUGGCAUUUGAUCUCCUCCCGACACUACAUCCAAAAUCUAAACAUUGGGUAAUUUGCGUACGUGUUUCACGCAAAUGGGAAUAUCGUGCUGGCACUGAUGAUGGCCCAAUAGCGCAUGUGGACCUUGUCCUUGCAGAU